AUUGAACGCUGGCGGCAGGCCUAACACAUGCAAGUCGAGCGGAUGAAGGGAGCUUGCUCCUGGAUUCAGCGGCGGACGGGUGAGUAAUGCCUAGGAAGCUGCCUGGUAGUGGGGGAUAACGUCCGGAAACGGGCGCUAAUACCGCAUACGUCCUGAGGGAGAAAGUGGGGGAUCUUCGGACCUCACGCUAUCAGAUGAGCCUAGGCCGGAUUAGCUAGUUGGUAAGGUAACGGCUUACCAAGGCGACGAUGCAUAGCUGACCUGAGAGGAUGAGCGGCCACACGGGAACUGAGACACGGUCCAGACUCCCACGGGAGGCAGCAGUAGGGAAUCUUCCGCAAUGGGCGAAAGCCUGACGGAGCAACGCCGCGUGAGUGAUGAAGGUCUUCGGAUCGUAAAACUCUGUUAUUAGGGAAGAACAUAUGUGUAAGUAACUGUGCACAUCUUGACGGUACCUAAUCAGAAAGCCACGGCUAACUACGUG
rnacentral:rRNA from 1 species